rnacentral:tRNA from 1 species
GUAAAUAUAGUUUACCCAAAACACUAGACUGUGACUCUAGAAACAGAAGCUUCUAUCUUCUUAUUUACC